GUAGCACCGGUUACCCGUGCAUCCCCUGCUCAGGCUAACAUGGUCGCGCCUUUCACCGGCCUCAAGUCCAUCGCAUCAUUCCCCGUCACCCGAAAGCUUGAGAAUGACAUUACCUCUAUUACCAGCAACGGAGGAAGAGUUCAAUGCAUGAAGGUAUAUAUCUAUACUACUUAAUACUCAGAUAUAUUAUGUGCUAAUGAGGAACCAGUAUAACAUGGCAGAACAUUUCUUAGUUAGUUAUUGCUCAUUUGCUCUCAAAGUAGCACAAUUCUAAGUCAGAUAAAGCAGUCCUAGGUAACUUUAGAGUGAGUAACUUCAGAAUUUUCCUUGAAUAUGUCAAUAAUAUACAAAAAUUAUGUCAACACCUCGAUUAAAAGAUUGUUUUGCUUGUAUUUUCCUCCUGAGCUGAUCUGAGAAAUUUUGUUCUCAAGUCAAACAAUUAGAGACUUUAGCUCAAGAGAAAUGUCACCCCCUGGCAUUGUAGCCUGCGGGAUGUCCUCUAUAUUUUACCAUAGUAACCAUGUCGCCCCUCAAGUGAAGUAGAAUUUAAUUCAAUAAUGAAAUUGAACUACCCAGUAGAGGAAAUUUCUAGUUUUUUUGUAUAAUUUCCACCUUAGCUUGCUCUUAGUAACCCCCCUCAGUCUCAUUAAAUAGUCGGAAAUGUAUAUUCUUAUGAAGACAUGAUCACGUUCUUCAAAUUUUGCAAUCCAACACUGUUUCUAGACAAAUAUACAAUCUGUCGGUUUGUAAUUGAGUAAAUAUGACAUUCACAAAAUAUAUCAAGGAGAACACACCUUGGUUCUGAAAGUGAAUGAUAAAUUAGUUAGGUAACAUAUGUGAAUGGUGCAAGUGCAGGUAUGGCCACCAAUUAACAUGAAGAAGUUCGAGACACUCUCAUACCUUCCUCCUCUCACCACCGAACAAUUGGCAAAGGAGGUCGACUACCUUCUCCGUUCCGGAUGGGUUCCUUGUCUGGAAUUCGAGUUGGAGGUAAGCACUUUCUUCCUACACAUUUUUCAUGUUCUCUGUUACAUGUUUCUUGACAUUGCUGAUGACAAUUGUGUGUUAAACCAAUAUGCAGCACGGUUUCGUGUACCGUGAGCACAACAAAUCUCCCGGAUACUAUGACGGACGAUACUGGGUUAUGUGGAAGCUUCCCAUGUUCGGGUGCACCGACUCAUCGCAGGUGUUGAAGGAGCUUGAUGAGUGCGUCAAGGAGUACCCCCAGGCGUACGUCCGUAUCAUCGGAUUCGACAACGUUCGCCAAGUCCAGUGCAUCAGUUUCAUUGCUCACCAGCCAGAAUGCUGAUCAAUCUGUCUGUUGAUUUCAUAUAUUUAUCAAUCUUGUUCGGCUCAUAUAUAAACUUCUUGCAAUCUCAUUUCAUUUCUUUCCGUUUUAAAUUUCUUACUUGUAUCUCCAACACAAGGAAAUUGGAACUAUAGAGGAUUAUAUGUAGCGAUUGUUGGUGAUUAUAUAUAUCUACUUGUUUGUUUUCCCUGCACCUUCUAAAUACUUGCAUCAUAUGCUUUCAUGUCGUGAUGUACUUUUUUAUAUAUCUCCGAUUCUCCAUGCAGUAAUUAACCACUACGGUCUUUUUACACCAACAAAUUAUAUGAUAACAUAUAGAAACAGUUCAUUGCUUCCGUAAUAUCUGCCUUGGUACAUGUUCUCUUGUAUCACUACAAAACCUUUCACGUCCAACAAUGUGAAAGCAAAUUCUCUGUAAUAGAAAUGGACAUCUGCUAGCGACAUUUCAGAUAAUAAUAAAGUGUACUUAUGCACCAUCUGGUUGGAAGGAAUGAACGGGAAAAACAUGAACAAAAUCAAAGGUAAACGAGAAGUAUACAAGAGUGAAGAGUGAUGAAGAACUAGAAAGUGCAGACUUUAUUAUGAGUUUCACAAUAUAAUGAGUAAAAUAUAGGAAUGAUCAUUUAUCCCUAUAUUGGUAAGAUUGAGAUAUUAGUUUUUUUUUGUGUGCCAAACUAGUACAAAUUUCAUUUCAUUCUCCCUAAACGUAAUUCUUCCAACAAAAUGGGGCAUUACAUAAAGGUAUAAAGAUGAGGAGAUUAAAGAUUGACAGCUGCGAUAAGGGAAGGUAUGGAAAACAUGUGUAACUAUAUAAAUGUCGAACACCAAUAAGAUCCAAAUAACUCAGAUAACAUCCAAACUCAGUAACAAAUUGGUUAACAGAUAAAAUUCAGAAGCGAAUGCAAAAUAGUUUAUAAAAUUAGAUUCUAAGAUUCAAAAUUUCUAGUAUUCAGAUUAUAUGCAGAUGAAAGAGGAAGGGAGAUUUAUUGAAUAAUUUAGGCUUGACAAAACACAAUAAAAUGAUACACAUAGACUAGUAUACUCUAAUACUUAAUGAGCAGCAUAUAUUCUUAUUCUUAACUACCGUCUAUUCUAUUAUAUCAAAGAAACAUAAAUUAUUGCAAAGCUGUAAAUUCACAUUAAGAAGCUUAAACAAAUUACACAACUAGAAAUCAACCACUCAAAUUGGAUAUAAUUGGAUAAAUAUCUAAAGAGAUCAUAACUAAGAACCCUAAUUUCAAAGUUAUAAAUGUAUGUAUAUAAAUGAUUCAAAAAUCAGAACUCUGUAACACAAAAAAGCUAGCUGAACUGAGAUGAAGUAGAAAGCAGCAACAAAACAUUUAUGAAUUAAAUAUCUAAAGCUGAUCUAAUUACAAACAUCAACUCACAGUUAUCAAGAGGGGUGUAUUGGAUUGGGAUUUUAAAUCAUUUUUUUGCAUUCAUGAAAUCCGAGGGUAUUCGAUUGAGAUUAUUUGAAAUGCAUUAAAAUCUUGGGGUAUUCAAUUGGGAUUUUGAAUUAUGCUACAAAAUCUGGUGGUAUUCAAUUGGGAUUUUAAAUUAUGCUUUAAAAUCCGGUGGUAUUCAAUUCGGAUUGUUUAAAAUCCAUUAAAAUCUGAUGGUAUUCAAAUGUUGUCGGAUUUUUUUUCAUUUCAUAAAAUGGUGGAUUUUGUGGCAUUGUUCGAUGUAUUUUAAGUUUUAUGAAAUCCCACCAAAAUCAAUGGGAUUUUGAAGCAUUGUGCUUAAAUCCUAUCAACUCUGCGACAUUUCAUCAAGAAUCCGCACAAAAUCAAAAUCACAUGCAAUCCAUUAAAAUCCAUAGACUAAAAACAAUCCAUUAAAAUCUCAAUCGAAUACACCCCCGCAAUUUAUUAAUCAGAUGAGAGGAAGGAAGGGAGAGGGUCAGAGGGAGAGGGAGAGGGAGAGAGAGAGAGAGAGAGGAGUUACAGUGCUACGGCGACGUUCAGCGGCGAUGGAGAAGCCAAAAGCGACCAAGCAUAGUAUUAUUACAAGAAGAUGAACGAGAGAUGAGCCUUUCCCUGCCCCCAUUAUUGUUUCUAAGGGCAUCUUUGAUCACAAUUUCAAGCUUCAUAUUUUUUUCACUUUUAAUUUUAUAGAUAGAUUAAUCAAUCUCCAAUCAUCCAUUUAUCUUCCUAUGUAAAGUCAUUUACUAGAUAAAUUAUAUUAUUUUAUAAAAAAAAAUUAAAUAACGAAAUAUAUGAUCUUUCUCGGAUGAAGAUAACUUGCAAAUUUAAUGGUAUAGUUUAGAAAUUGGGGUUGAGAAGUACCAGUAGUUAUGCUAUAUUUACCUGAUGAUCUCGUAUCGUAACUUUUUUUACACGUGGGAUUUUUUUGCUUACAGCUCAUACUCUAUAACACACUUCCGCCAUUUCACAUGUGACUUCAUCUUUUGACCAGGGUUCUGUAAAUAGAAUUUUGAGCAAGAUCCCCUUAAUACAUAACUGAAUAAACAACACUCGUAGAGAUGAAUUCUGCUGGCGGAACUAGGGAAGAAACCCUAGCUUAGUCAAAGUUUUUUUUUUCUUCCAGAUAUUUGUUUUUUUUCAGAUAUUUUUUUAUUUGAGCUCUUAAAAAUAACAGUGAACCAAUAAAAAGUAUUUAUUGUGCAAAUUUUAAUUCUAGAUUAUUUUGAUUCAUGUCAUAUUGUCAUUGACUAACAGGCCAAAGUCAUUUUGUUAAUGGGCUCUAUUUUCUUGACCAAAAUCAUACUGUUUCCCCUACUAUUAUCCUGAGCCCAUGUUUUCAAAUUUCAAUUACGCCCAACCACCAGUCCAGAGUAGUUGUUGUUGGGCCACAAGGUAACCAUCCAAUGUCUAAACUAAUCAUAGUCCAAAUAAAAUUUUUUCAUAAAAACUGCGUGUACGUGAAUCCAGGGCAGAGGACUGAACAUGACUCCACUUGAGUUGAGCAAGAAAACCGCAAUCAUAUAUCUUUGAUUUUUAAAAUUGAAAACCGCAACCGUCAAUCGGGGUCGGUUUCGGUUUCGGUUUAAGAAACUUCGAUUCGGUUAAUAGUCGGCUCGGUUUCGAUUACAAAAUCGACAAAUAUAAGAAUGAAAAAUAGUACACAAACGAGACAAAUUAAUGCACGUAAUCUAGACAUAAUAAUUAAUAUAAUAUUAAAAUUUAACAAAAGUAACCGUAUUUUAUUUAAAACACUCUUGCCAGUAAUAUAAAACUAGUCUUAGUCAGAAUUUUCAUACAGAAUACGAAUCAGAACUUCCGGCUGAUUGGCUUUUUUAACACAUGCUUCAUGAAGAUUGAGAAAAUGUGACAGGGAAAAUAGGAAAUACAGAUUGGCAGUGGCCAGUCAGCAUGAGAUAUUCACUGAACAUCAAAUAUUAACAUAGACGGAUGUUUCUGUAAGUGUUAGAAUAGAUUUAUUAUAUUUAUUACAUAUUACAUAUAUUAUUUAUUAUUAUUUUAAUAACCGGUUCCGUUUGGUUUUUAUUGGUUCGGUUGGGAGGUAUAACCGGAACCAAACCGUUUAAAUCAGAUCAAUUUUUAAUUUUUCGGUUUCUAAUUGGUUUUUUUGAGUUUUUCCAAAUUUCGAUUCGUUUUGAUUUUAAAUCGGUUUUUUGCUAAGUCCUAAAUUAAGGUAUGGGUUCAAUUAUAGACAAGGUUAAGCUUACUUUUUAAAAAGUCUAACAUCACAAGUAAAUGGUUCACAAGUAAAUGGUCUUAAAACUAUAAAGAAACCAGGAUUGAAGCUCAAAAAUUAUCACCACUACACCCUUUUUUCGUGGUGCAACAAAUUUGGCCUAAAUCAAACGCAAAUCAAACGCAUUUAUACAAGACAAAUGACAGUCUUAAUAUAGGAUUACCCCAUUUUGGUUCAACCAUGAACACUGUUUGAACUAUGCGAUAGUUUCUUUACUAAAAUAUACUUCAGACUCUGGAACUGGAAGGACUAUGGGCCACUUAAAUGCAGCAUAUAUCUUGCAAUUUGAGCUCGAUAAUGGCAAAUUCCAAAUGCAAUCUAUCCACACAUUACACUCAAGUGCGAAAGAAUGAUCCAUGUAUUUUAAGGGUUUUGGUUCCUGGCAUGUGUACAUCAGGGAGUACUUAUAUAACAUACUGAUUUUGGAUCGUUGGAUGAUAUAUGCAUCUAACGGACAUAAUUAUAAAAAAAAUUCGUCAUGCUCAAUUUUUUUUUAUUUGUUUUUUUGCAUAUGAUAUGUAACUUGAAUAAUAAGAGGAAGGGGGAAAGUGAUGCAACUGCAAUUGAAGAAGUCAGUAGUCACUUAUUUAAAUUUCAAAGUACAAAGCCCAAAUAAGCAAUUUCCAAAGAGCUAAGCAAUGAAGGGCCAAGAAAUGGCUAGCUACUGCUAAAGAAAGCAAGUCCUCAUUCCUUGAUCAGAAGAGAUAAGGCAACCGCUCUCAUGCCACGUGUCAACUCAAUAAGAGUGUUUAAUGAUAAGGCAACCAAUCCAAAUUGCUCACACUGUGUGGCUACCAUGUUGCCUUGUCAACUUCACUGUAAUUCAAUGGUCAGAAAAAUUCUGAACUUUAGGAGGUGAAUUGGGAACCAUUGGAUCAGCAGGUUAAACGAUAAUGAGAUGAAAUGCCUAUAUAUUGGAUAGGUGAAGGAACAGAAGCAAGCCUCUCAAACACAAGAGAAGAAAGUAAAAGAACAAGAAGAGAGUAUUAGUACUCAUGGCUUCUUCAAUGAUAUCAUCAGUAGCACCGGUUACCCGUGCAUCCCCUGCUCAGGCUAACAUGGUCGCGCCUUUCACCGGCCUCAAGUCCAUCGCAUCAUUCCCCGUCACCCGAAAGCUUGAGAAUGACAUUACCUCUAUUACCAGCAACGGAGGAAGAGUUCAAUGCAUGAAGGUAUAUAUCUAUACUACUUAAUACUCAGAUAUAUUAUGUGCUAAUGAGGAACCAGUAUAACAUGGCAGAACAUUUCUUAGUUAGUUAUUGCUCAUUUGCUCUCAAAGUAGCACAAUUCUAAGUCAGAUAAAGCAGUCCUAGGUAACUUUAGAGUGAGUAACUUCAGAAUUUUCCUUGAAUAUGUCAAUAAUAUACAAAAAUUAUGUCAACACCUCGAUUAAAAGAUUGUUUUGCUUGUAUUUUCCUCCUGAGCUGAUCUGAGAAAUUUUGUUCUCAAGUCAAACAAUUAGAGACUUUAGCUCAAGAGAAAUGUCACCCCCUGGCAUUGUAGCCUGCGGGAUGUCCUCUAUAUUUUACCAUAGUAACCAUGUCGCCCCUCAAGUGAAGUAGAAUUUAAUUCAAUAAUGAAAUUGAACUACCCAGUAGAGGAAAUUUCUAGUUUUUUUGUAUAAUUUCCACCUUAGCUUGCUCUUAGUAACCCCCCUCAGUCUCAUUAAAUAGUCGGAAAUGUAUAUUCUUAUGAAGACAUGAUCACGUUCUUCAAAUUUUGCAAUCCAACACUGUUUCUAGACAAAUAUACAAUCUGUCGGUUUGUAAUUGAGUAAAUAUGACAUUCACAAAAUAUAUCAAGGAGAACACACCUUGGUUCUGAAAGUGAAUGAUAAAUUAGUUAGGUAACAUAUGUGAAUGGUGCAAGUGCAGGUAUGGCCACCAAUUAACAUGAAGAAGUUCGAGACACUCUCAUACCUUCCUCCUCUCACCACCGAACAAUUGGCAAAGGAGGUCGACUACCUUCUCCGUUCCGGAUGGGUUCCUUGUCUGGAAUUCGAGUUGGAGGUAAGCACUUUCUUCCUACACAUUUUUCAUGUUCUCUGUUACAUGUUUCUUGACAUUGCUGAUGACAAUUGUGUGUUAAACCAAUAUGCAGCACGGUUUCGUGUACCGUGAGCACAACAAAUCUCCCGGAUACUAUGACGGACGAUACUGGGUUAUGUGGAAGCUUCCCAUGUUCGGGUGCACCGACUCAUCGCAGGUGUUGAAGGAGCUUGAUGAGUGCGUCAAGGAGUACCCCCAGGCGUACGUCCGUAUCAUCGGAUUCGACAACGUUCGCCAAGUCCAGUGCAUCAGUUUCAUUGCUCACCAGCCAGAAUGCUGAUCAAUCUGUCUGUUGAUUUCAUAUAUUUAUCAAUCUUGUUCGGCUCAUAUAUAAACUUCUUGCAAUCUCAUUUCAUUUCUUUCCGUUUUAAAUUUCUUACUUGUAUCUCCAACACAAGGAAAUUGGAACUAUAGAGGAUUAUAUGUAGCGAUUGUUGGUGAUUAUAUAUAUCUACUUGUUUGUUUUCCCUGCACCUUCUAAAUACUUGCAUCAUAUGCUUUCAUGUCGUGAUGUACUUUUUUAUAUAUCUCCGAUUCUCCAUGCAGUAAUUAACCACUACGGUCUUUUUACACCAACAAAUUAUAUGAUAACAUAUAGAAACAGUUCAUUGCUUCCGUAAUAUCUGCCUUGGUACAUGUUCUCUUGUAUCACUACAAAACCUUUCACGUCCAACAAUGUGAAAGCAAAUUCUCUGUAAUAGAAAUGGACAUCUGCUAGCGACAUUUCAGAUAAUAAUAAAGUGUACUUAUGCACCAUCUGGUUGGAAGGAAUGAACGGGAAAAACAUGAACAAAAUCAAAGGUAAACGAGAAGUAUACAAGAGUGAAGAGUGAUGAAGAACUAGAAAGUGCAGACUUUAUUAUGAGUUUCACAAUAUAAUGAGUAAAAUAUAGGAAUGAUCAUUUAUCCCUAUAUUGGUAAGAUUGAGAUAUUAGUUUUUUUUUGUGUGCCAAACUAGUACAAAUUUCAUUUCAUUCUCCCUAAACGUAAUUCUUCCAACAAAAUGGGGCAUUACAUAAAGGUAUAAAGAUGAGGAGAUUAAAGAUUGACAGCUGCGAUAAGGGAAGGUAUGGAAAACAUGUGUAACUAUAUAAAUGUCGAACACCAAUAAGAUCCAAAUAACUCAGAUAACAUCCAAACUCAGUAACAAAUUGGUUAACAGAUAAAAUUCAGAAGCGAAUGCAAAAUAGUUUAUAAAAUUAGAUUCUAAGAUUCAAAAUUUCUAGUAUUCAGAUUAUAUGCAGAUGAAAGAGGAAGGGAGAUUUAUUGAAUAAUUUAGGCUUGACAAAACACAAUAAAAUGAUACACAUAGACUAGUAUACUCUAAUACUUAAUGAGCAGCAUAUAUUCUUAUUCUUAACUACCGUCUAUUCUAUUAUAUCAAAGAAACAUAAAUUAUUGCAAAGCUGUAAAUUCACAUUAAGAAGCUUAAACAAAUUACACAACUAGAAAUCAACCACUCAAAUUGGAUAUAAUUGGAUAAAUAUCUAAAGAGAUCAUAACUAAGAACCCUAAUUUCAAAGUUAUAAAUGUAUGUAUAUAAAUGAUUCAAAAAUCAGAACUCUGUAACACAAAAAAGCUAGCUGAACUGAGAUGAAGUAGAAAGCAGCAACAAAACAUUUAUGAAUUAAAUAUCUAAAGCUGAUCUAAUUACAAACAUCAACUCACAGUUAUCAAGAGGGGUGUAUUGGAUUGGGAUUUUAAAUCAUUUUUUUGCAUUCAUGAAAUCCGAGGGUAUUCGAUUGAGAUUAUUUGAAAUGCAUUAAAAUCUUGGGGUAUUCAAUUGGGAUUUUGAAUUAUGCUACAAAAUCUGGUGGUAUUCAAUUGGGAUUUUAAAUUAUGCUUUAAAAUCCGGUGGUAUUCAAUUCGGAUUGUUUAAAAUCCAUUAAAAUCUGAUGGUAUUCAAAUGUUGUCGGAUUUUUUUUCAUUUCAUAAAAUGGUGGAUUUUGUGGCAUUGUUCGAUGUAUUUUAAGUUUUAUGAAAUCCCACCAAAAUCAAUGGGAUUUUGAAGCAUUGUGCUUAAAUCCUAUCAACUCUGCGACAUUUCAUCAAGAAUCCGCACAAAAUCAAAAUCACAUGCAAUCCAUUAAAAUCCAUAGACUAAAAACAAUCCAUUAAAAUCUCAAUCGAAUACACCCCCGCAAUUUAUUAAUCAGAUGAGAGGAAGGAAGGGAGAGGGUCAGAGGGAGAGGGAGAGGGAGAGAGAGAGAGAGAGAGGAGUUACAGUGCUACGGCGACGUUCAGCGGCGAUGGAGAAGCCAAAAGCGACCAAGCAUAGUAUUAUUACAAGAAGAUGAACGAGAGAUGAGCCUUUCCCUGCCCCCAUUAUUGUUUCUAAGGGCAUCUUUGAUCACAAUUUCAAGCUUCAUAUUUUUUUCACUUUUAAUUUUAUAGAUAGAUUAAUCAAUCUCCAAUCAUCCAUUUAUCUUCCUAUGUAAAGUCAUUUACUAGAUAAAUUAUAUUAUUUUAUAAAAAAAAAUUAAAUAACGAAAUAUAUGAUCUUUCUCGGAUGAAGAUAACUUGCAAAUUUAAUGGUAUAGUUUAGAAAUUGGGGUUGAGAAGUACCAGUAGUUAUGCUAUAUUUACCUGAUGAUCUCGUAUCGUAACUUUUUUUACACGUGGGAUUUUUUUGCUUACAGCUCAUACUCUAUAACACACUUCCGCCAUUUCACAUGUGACUUCAUCUUUUGACCAGGGUUCUGUAAAUAGAAUUUUGAGCAAGAUCCCCUUAAUACAUAACUGAAUAAACAACACUCGUAGAGAUGAAUUCUGCUGGCGGAACUAGGGAAGAAACCCUAGCUUAGUCAAAGUUUUUUUUUUCUUCCAGAUAUUUGUUUUUUUUCAGAUAUUUUUUUAUUUGAGCUCUUAAAAAUAACAGUGAACCAAUAAAAAGUAUUUAUUGUGCAAAUUUUAAUUCUAGAUUAUUUUGAUUCAUGUCAUAUUGUCAUUGACUAACAGGCCAAAGUCAUUUUGUUAAUGGGCUCUAUUUUCUUGACCAAAAUCAUACUGUUUCCCCUACUAUUAUCCUGAGCCCAUGUUUUCAAAUUUCAAUUACGCCCAACCACCAGUCCAGAGUAGUUGUUGUUGGGCCACAAGGUAACCAUCCAAUGUCUAAACUAAUCAUAGUCCAAAUAAAAUUUUUUCAUAAAAACUGCGUGUACGUGAAUCCAGGGCAGAGGACUGAACAUGACUCCACUUGAGUUGAGCAAGAAAACCGCAAUCAUAUAUCUUUGAUUUUUAAAAUUGAAAACCGCAACCGUCAAUCGGGGUCGGUUUCGGUUUCGGUUUAAGAAACUUCGAUUCGGUUAAUAGUCGGCUCGGUUUCGAUUACAAAAUCGACAAAUAUAAGAAUGAAAAAUAGUACACAAACGAGACAAAUUAAUGCACGUAAUCUAGACAUAAUAAUUAAUAUAAUAUUAAAAUUUAACAAAAGUAACCGUAUUUUAUUUAAAACACUCUUGCCAGUAAUAUAAAACUAGUCUUAGUCAGAAUUUUCAUACAGAAUACGAAUCAGAACUUCCGGCUGAUUGGCUUUUUUAACACAUGCUUCAUGAAGAUUGAGAAAAUGUGACAGGGAAAAUAGGAAAUACAGAUUGGCAGUGGCCAGUCAGCAUGAGAUAUUCACUGAACAUCAAAUAUUAACAUAGACGGAUGUUUCUGUAAGUGUUAGAAUAGAUUUAUUAUAUUUAUUACAUAUUACAUAUAUUAUUUAUUAUUAUUUUAAUAACCGGUUCCGUUUGGUUUUUAUUGGUUCGGUUGGGAGGUAUAACCGGAACCAAACCGUUUAAAUCAGAUCAAUUUUUAAUUUUUCGGUUUCUAAUUGGUUUUUUUGAGUUUUUCCAAAUUUCGAUUCGUUUUGAUUUUAAAUCGGUUUUUUGCUAAGUCCUAAAUUAAGGUAUGGGUUCAAUUAUAGACAAGGUUAAGCUUACUUUUUAAAAAGUCUAACAUCACAAGUAAAUGGUUCACAAGUAAAUGGUCUUAAAACUAUAAAGAAACCAGGAUUGAAGCUCAAAAAUUAUCACCACUACACCCUUUUUUCGUGGUGCAACAAAUUUGGCCUAAAUCAAACGCAAAUCAAACGCAUUUAUACAAGACAAAUGACAGUCUUAAUAUAGGAUUACCCCAUUUUGGUUCAACCAUGAACACUGUUUGAACUAUGCGAUAGUUUCUUUACUAAAAUAUACUUCAGACUCUGGAACUGGAAGGACUAUGGGCCACUUAAAUGCAGCAUAUAUCUUGCAAUUUGAGCUCGAUAAUGGCAAAUUCCAAAUGCAAUCUAUCCACACAUUACACUCAAGUGCGAAAGAAUGAUCCAUGUAUUUUAAGGGUUUUGGUUCCUGGCAUGUGUACAUCAGGGAGUACUUAUAUAACAUACUGAUUUUGGAUCGUUGGAUGAUAUAUGCAUCUAACGGACAUAAUUAUAAAAAAAAUUCGUCAUGCUCAAUUUUUUUUUAUUUGUUUUUUUGCAUAUGAUAUGUAACUUGAAUAAUAAGAGGAAGGGGGAAAGUGAUGCAACUGCAAUUGAAGAAGUCAGUAGUCACUUAUUUAAAUUUCAAAGUACAAAGCCCAAAUAAGCAAUUUCCAAAGAGCUAAGCAAUGAAGGGCCAAGAAAUGGCUAGCUACUGCUAAAGAAAGCAAGUCCUCAUUCCUUGAUCAGAAGAGAUAAGGCAACCGCUCUCAUGCCACGUGUCAACUCAAUAAGAGUGUUUAAUGAUAAGGCAACCAAUCCAAAUUGCUCACACUGUGUGGCUACCAUGUUGCCUUGUCAACUUCACUGUAAUUCAAUGGUCAGAAAAAUUCUGAACUUUAGGAGGUGAAUUGGGAACCAUUGGAUCAGCAGGUUAAACGAUAAUGAGAUGAAAUGCCUAUAUAUUGGAUAGGUGAAGGAACAGAAGCAAGCCUCUCAAACACAAGAGAAGAAAGUAAAAGAACAAGAAGAGAGUAUUAGUACUCAUGGCUUCUUCAAUGAUAUCAUCAGUAGCACCGGUUACCCGUGCAUCCCCUGCUCAGGCUAACAUGGUCGCGCCUUUCACCGGCCUCAAGUCCAUCGCAUCAUUCCCCGUCACCCGAAAGCUUGAGAAUGACAUUACCUCUAUUACCAGCAACGGAGGAAGAGUUCAAUGCAUGAAGGUAUAUAUCUAUACUACUUAAUACUCAGAUAUAUUAUGUGCUAAUGAGGAACCAGUAUAACAUGGCAGAACAUUUCUUAGUUAGUUAUUGCUCAUUUGCUCUCAAAGUAGCACAAUUCUAAGUCAGAUAAAGCAGUCCUAGGUAACUUUAGAGUGAGUAACUUCAGAAUUUUCCUUGAAUAUGUCAAUAAUA
rnacentral:lncRNA from 1 species